UACGGAGGGUGCGAGCGUUGUCCGGAAUCACUGGGCGUAAAGGGCGCGUAGGCGGUCUGUUAAGCGUGUGGUGAAAGCUCGGGGCUCAACCCUGAGUCUGCCAUGCGAACUGGUGGACUUGAGCACUGUAGAGGCAGGUGGAAUUCCGGGUGUAGCGGUGGAAUGCGUAGAGAUCCGGAAGAACACCGGUGGCGAAGGCGGCCUGCUGGGCAGUUGCUGACGCUGAGGCGCGACAGCGUGGGGAGCAAACAGG
rnacentral:rRNA from 1 species